rnacentral:lncRNA from 1 species
UUUUAAUUCAAAAUGGAGUAUCCAAAAUGGCUGCUGGAAAUUCAAUGGAUAUUUUAAUUUAUCUGGAAAUAAUAUCGUCUUCCAUUUAGCGACGGAAUCGAAUCCCAGUCUCUUUCUUUGGAAAGUAUUCGGUGGUCCGAAUCCCGGCAAUUCGCGGCCACGGUCAGCACUCCUCCUCCACCGAUACGAGAGGACUACCAGACGGCUUCCAGUUACCUUCACGUAGUCCGCUCAGUUUGAGAAGUAACGUAGUUGGUCCAGGAAAAAAGAUAUCGGGACCAACUAUCAUAAAUAUUCGCCUCUCGCACUGACCGUAUCGGAACGCUUCGACUUUUCACUCUCUGGGAUCGGGGUUCGAUUCUUCAAACUGCACCUUAGAAAUAUUUAUCACCAGUCGGGGCCGACCCGUCGAUUUCCGUCCUCCAUUCUCCCGCUGAUCUAUUCCCGGGAACAGGCAGUCCGUGGAAGGACUCGUUUCACCCCGUCACUUAGUACUGUAUGGGGGUCGAAAGUGGCAACAUCUGUUACCAAAAAAAAUUCGUCUAGCUAGAAGAGAUAUUUACUGACUUCUUCUGGCGGUAGAUAGGCCGAUAUAGUAAUAAUCUUAAUCUUAGGCUGUAUAUUUUUUAAAAAAUAGAAAUUUUUAAAGUGACGAAACCUUCUUGCCUUAUAAGAAUGGUGGCGUUCGGAUCUAGGCCAUGGCGAGGGUCAAAAUCUCGGACAUAUUUCAAAACUCGCCUAGAUUAAAAAAUUAGAAAAAAGUGGAAUAUGGGGGAAAAGGACGUUCGGUAUCUUUAAAUUGGUACCAUUAGGUUUCGUUAACAAAAUCGUUAUUAAAUUUAACUCGGGUGAGCAGACACUAGUAGUCGAAGUGGCCGAUGCCCAGCUUAGGUGCCCCGAUAAAAAAUUACAAACAGCAAAGAUUAAGAGGAAAGAUAAAAGUGCUGGUAGUAGCGCUUCCGAUGGCCAAAACUGGACGGAGCCCGGAGAGUGUAAUUUUAUGGGGUGGACGAAUUCGGUAGUCGGUAAGUAACCAUCUGCCGUUUAAAACAGACAGGCCUGACCAAUAAAUACCGUAUUUUUAAACUAAAACUUUUUCCGGUUCUUCCUACGCUUAUUAUUUCCGUCCCUAAAAUUGAGUGCCGAUGGCCGUCUGGCCUAUAUAAUUGGUGGUAUCGAUCAAAUUCUUGUUAAUAUGUUUUUCUUACUCUUCCGUUUCCGUUAUCUUCCAGUACCAGCUACCACAUUUCCACUACAUAAUUUGCCUGACGUAUCGAUAAUUUUCCGAUGGGUAUGAUUUAUCGACGGCUGUUUCGAUUCUCGCCACGCGUUGUUUUGUACGCAUUUUACGCGUAAAUUCAAUUUUCCUUUCCCUAAGCCGGAGUGGACGGUUUCCACCCAAUAUCGGCGACUAUUUCCAGCCGGGGCUCUUCCCCAAAGUAUAUAAAAUUUCGGGCGUACAGACGGAAGGCCUUUUCCGAACAGUCAUAAGAGACCACCGGGUGAAUUGUAUACGUACGCCUAGCGUCUUAUCCCCGGAUGGUACCGGAACUAUUCCGUCGAUUUUAAGUCCAUGGAGUAACAUGGAUCGGACGUUCAGCGGCUGUUAGACGGCUUAUUUUCAGCCAAGAAUUAUAUAUAUUAAAAUAAGGCCUUAUUUGUACGGGUGCCGCCUAUUUCUUAUCAUUAACCAAGCCGAAACGUGUCGAGGUUAUACAGAGACCAUUCAACUGGUUGGGUAAAAGGUGGCCAGGUGGAAUUCCAUCCCCGAAAGAUAGAAACACAAUAUACAAUAUCGAUUACUAUCUAGAUCAGAAUCUAGUCUACAUUCAACGUAUAGCCAUGUAUAUUUUUCCAUGCCAUACGGUUUAUUCGUUUUUUACGUAAGAUUAUUAGGGUUACCAUUUCUGGCAUUACAGUAGAGUCCUUCUUCUUCGGUCUGGCUUUAACCGGCACAGUUCGCUGCGACUACGGGCCCGAGUAAAAAGCGAAAAAGAAUAAGUGGUUGGCAAAGAAGGGAAGUGCCGGAAAUGACGGUAAGAAAUCUACCAGAUAAUUCGGUCGCUAUUUAAAUAAUUGCUCUCAGAAAUUGGCGUCGCUUUCUAAUUUUUCUCGAAAAACAAUUUAAAUGCUAAUGGAAAAAAGGGAGUCGUCUAACUAAAUAUUACUUAGAUAAAAUUUACAAGUGGCGAAUUAAGUAAAACUAUAUAUAUACCUACCGAACGUAUAAACUUUUUUUCCAUUUACGACUUACCAACGGUAUUUUGACGGAAGAGUCGGCCACGGGUUAGGCCACCCCAGCACCGAUCUGGUCGCUCCGGUUAACCCCGAGUCUACCUUAGGUAAAAGUUUAAAGUACCUUCUGGGAUCGGGUCGCCGAAUAAUAAAUAAUAAUAUAUUAAAGAAUAAUAUAUUUAAAGAGCCAACUUUCUCGGCUUCCAACUACACCAUCCGUAUAGUGUUGUUGGAAACCGCGGUAUUUAGUUUUAAAACGGUUUUACUUCACCGCAGAUAAAGUUAAUAACCAAGAAAACUCGAGUUUUCUCCAAAACGGUUUUUUUAUCAAUUGUAGAUUUUUUUUAUGCCAUCGAUUUUUUGUAGGAAGAGAGGCGGUAGUCACCCACCGACUCUUAAUACCGGUGUCAUUACCACCAAAUUUCAUCGGGCCGUAGCUUCGGUUCUAAGUUUAGAUACGGUCGAUCUGACGGUUAUAUGGGAGAAAAGUAUGGGAUGGGCUACCGAUGGCCGAAUUUGAAUCUUCUCCUCCAAUUAAUCGAAGAACUAGAGCGAUUUAAAUGUGGCUGAAAUCGGAAAGAAGUGUGGUUUAUCCGUUCUUCGAUCCCCUACGCCCGUACGGGUGGCCGGCGCCACCAAACUCGGGAUAUGUUAUUUCUUUAAUUAUUGGAGGUCCCCGAAGAUUUGGAGGUGAUGGGAAGAAGACAAAGGCAGGAAAUUCCGUUCACAUUUCUAUGUUUAAAUCUGAAACGCCGUAUAGCCGAGCCUAGGCUAGCGCCAUUAAAAUCGGAAAACCAAGCUAAAAUUAAAGGGUGGGUAUAAGUCGGUAAUCUUCGACCGAUUUCCUACAAAACCGGAAGGUCGAAAAGAAAAUAUGGCUGACGGCCGAAAAACGCCGUCCCCACGGGUACAAAACGAAGAAGUAGCGGAUUUUUUCAUCAGCCAUUUUUCUACGGGGCUCCAUCGAUUUUCCACAUAGGCCAUCUACGCGCCUUUACUAUUUUAAUAAGUAUUCCCUAAAAAAUUCGAUGGCUUAAGAUUAAAAAUAAAGAGGUAUCUAUCUAGCAGGCUAUUAACGUACCGCCAUUACGUCAAAAAAUGGUUUUCGUCUAAAAAGAUAGGAAAAAUAUCUAAUAGGUAGAAAAGUAAGCGGGGGAAGGAUAUCUGUGGCUAAUGGGACGCGCGUAGUUGUGUCUUCUUUUAUUUUCUUAAAAGGUCGACCCGUUGUAAAUUCCCGACCAAUUAGAUGUUAACCCACCCGCCCAUUUCUGAGCGCUUACUCGUUUUUUGCCAUUUCGGUGGACCGUUACCGGGAUACGGAAGGUCGACGGAUACGGUUGCCGGCCAUUUCCUAUUUUCUAUAACUAGCGCUAAAUAGGUUUUACGCCGAACAUCACCGUAAAAUUGGAAAUUCGAAAAUUUGAUUAAAAUCGACGCUGGACUUUUUAAAAUUCCCAGCCACGGUUUCUGGGAAAAUUCUUUUCUUAACAACUCCACCAAAGGCCCAUUUUCCGGUACAAUUUGGUGACAGAAAAAUAAUUAGCCCCGAGAAAACUAGCUACAACCCGUAGCUGCCAACCCAAUGUUAUAAUAAUUUGGCCGACAGAUGGCGGGAUGGAUCGAACGGAUGGAGUGCGCGUAUUUAAUAAUAUUUGACGGGAUCCGUCUCCAAAAUUGAUUAUACUUAAAACAUAAUUUUAAACCAUGAAUAAAGAGCGCCCGUAAAACCGAAGUGGCCACGGGCCUGGGGCCGGGUCGAGUCGACGGUGGCCGUGUCUUCGACCUCGCCCACGUUUUAUAAGACAGUUAUCUAUAUUUUUAUUUGGGUAAAAAGAAAAGCGAAACUAACGGUCGGCCGUUAAAUCCGUAAUGUUCUCGUUUAUCCGUGUUCUUUACCGACGAAUUUUGGAAGUUCUGACGGUCGUCCCGUUUAACUGGUUAGAAAUCCAGUAUCCCGAGCAAAAUGGCCGAUAGGUUUCUUCCGGUGGGAAUAAGCGAUUAUUUGUCGGGGGAGAUUUGUUUAUAUUACGUAUAAUUUUAUCCUAUUAAAUAAUAUUUGUUCGGCUUUGAUUUGUUUUUAAACGUUUGCCGUAAUCUUCGUAUUUUGUCCAACUAGUAUACACCGUAUUUACCGUACCAACGUAUAUUUGGAAGGUGCGGCCCCUUUCCUGUCGCCGCUGCCAGUCCGAUAUUUCCACAGUCGAUUAUUCCCCGGUUAGUGUGGAGACGAACGUUUUCGGUCGGACUAAAUUGGUGGAAGUGUAGGAAGCGCCAAAGUCGGGAUACGUUUCCACCGGAUAGACCAUUUAAUAGUACUGGUUAGGAUGGCGCGGAUUCUUUGUCGGCCCGUGUGCGCCGCAUCCCUUUCCAUCGGAAUAACCGAGCGUAAAUAAGAUUUAGGUAGAAGAGUGAAAACGCGUUUAAUACGGUAAAACGGGAAGGCUCCUUUCCUAUCUCUCGGGCGUUCGACCGUGGUAGGGUACAGUUUCCAAUUUUAGUCCGGUUGUCUAUAGCCCUAGGAUUUCUAAAGAUCCGAAAUGGUGAAGGGAUACACUUAUCGGAAACUUAUCGUUACAUUUUGCUGGUAAGAGUGGUCGAAAACAUUUCGUUUACCCAGCCGCUUAUCUUCCUUCCUUAGCUAUUUAAAGAAAUAUUGUCGUUAUCCGGAUAUAACUGUACCGUACAGUUGGGGUAUAAAAGCGGCGGUUGGAUUGGGUCGACGGCGGUUUUCUACCCGGAUUCUACCACGGUCGUUUUAAGAUCGGUAGUUAUCGGAAUGGAGAUUUAAUACCGUACCGUAUUAAUCGGUGGUAGCGGCUAACUUACGUAACGUUAAGUCGGUUUCCGGUUCUACUUCUGGUGGGUUCUUCGUUCCUUCUUAUACGGCUUAAGAGUUGGUUAUCUGUUAAGAGUAAUUGGCUAUUUCGGCAGUUAUCUUUGCUGCUUUCUCUAGGCUGGGUCCGCUAAUUAUUUAGUUAACAAAACAGACCAGUUACCGGCGGGCGCGGAAAAUUUGUGUACGAAUAUCCUAUCGCCGGUUACUGGUGGGCCAGCCCGGAUGGCGGGCCUCCUACCGCCCGGAGGUAGGAAGAUACGGUACCCGCCACCUAUUAACGACUAUACUGAUUAACGUUUCUACGGUACGGUGCCGGGAAUAAUAAAUCUAGGUGGGCGGAAACGACCAAAAAUCUGUGGCCAAUUAAUUCUAAUUCACCGCUACCGGUUUGGUGGGUAUUUAUUUUAAAAUGUCGGUUUUAUUAACGCGUCUGUUUUUAAACCCGUAUACAACGAUGUGGGCCUGAAUUUAUUCGUUUCAAAUAUUGCCUACCUGGGUAAAUCGUCCGUUUAUUACCUGGACUGUAGCUUAUACUUUUUAUUACGGUCGACGGUGAUGGGAAGAAGAUGGGGCUGUAUCCCAUCGAUAAAUAGGACCGAACCAAUAAUCCCCUCAAACGUUAAUUAAAAUCCGUAGUUAAUCCCUUCUUAUAGUCCGCGCCCGUCACUUCUCGGCCCGCUUUCCGCGCUACUGGCCUGUUUUCCGGGUAUGGCUAUCUCGAUUUAUUACCGUCUAAAAAUUUAUUCCUAUCGUCUACCUAGAGUUAAUGGUAUCUCGAUUGGAAAUGAAUAUUUUUAUGAAAUCAGUUAGGCGUCUCGGCUCCGUAUCCUAAUCUCGGUGCCUAUUUUUCUUGAAAUUAGGCCGGCGUAGCGAGACCCCCACGCCGCUGCCGGCUUAUCCCUAGUAUAUCGUAUGUUUUAUUCGUAAAUUCGAUCGACUUACCAUAAGUUAUUAUAAUUUAUAGGUUGUGGUAACCGGUCUGGUAGAAAUAUUAGCUAAAAUCCCUUUCCGAUUUACUGGACUGGUAUUUUGGACAUUUAUGGACGGUAAAAGUAGACCGUAAAUCGGUUAUCGACAGAUAGAAAGGAGUGGCGGUAGAUGUCACUCUCGGAAGGAGCCCGUCAGUUUUUAAACUCUCCGAGCGUCUCCGUAGCUCGGAUAGAAGAAACCGGAUAAUGGCCGGACCCAAUUCGAUGGAUGGUUUGUCUGAGAAUUUGACUAGUAAGGCCCGUGGUCGUGGGGGUGGACUGGCCCGCUUCCACCGUGACCGAGGUUCGAAGAGCGGCGGUCCGACCGGAUCAACGAAUUUAAUUUAAUUAGUGGGACCGGAACGGACCACUAAACGGAGGUGGCGGGCGGUGGAAACGUCCUUUAAAAAAUAUCGCUCCGAUUUCCGACCACCCGUAACCCCAUUUUGACUGGCUAAACCCGAGAAGCCGAGCCACCGCUCCGGCACCGGCACUUUUUGGUAAAAGCACCCAGGACGGGUUUUCCUUUGCUUUCCAUUUUGUGUGGCUGGCCGGCCGCUCUUAACGUUUCCCAUUGUUUUCCGCCGCCGAUUUUAUCAUUUUUUUAUCCCAGAUAAGUGGAGCGGUAGAAAUUCCCAGUCCUAACGGCCGCUUCGACUGCGGUUUUGGCGGGAAGGGAGCCGUUAAGUCGCGUCUGAAAUCGAAACUCGAAAAACCUCCACCCUGGAAUUUCCGCGGCUGAUAAAACACCGGGUUUAAAAAGAUUUUUUCCGGAUAGAUGGCGCCGGACGUUAAACCGGAGGUAGGUAAAACGGUUAUUACCCAGAAAACAUAUUUAAGUCGCCUUAAUUAUUUUAGCCUUAGAUACCUGAUCGGCCCCUUAGGCGUGCCUUACGAGAUAAAAGGCAAAAUUUAAAAGAACGGAUAUUACCUUGACCUGAUAUGGGAUGGGCCCCACCGUAUUCGGCCGGUGGUGUCUAUUACUUUCUCCCAGUGGUAUUUGUAAGUGGACCGGAGGGACGAGCUGCGAAAGCUCGGGUUUUCCAAACAGCCCGCAUCGAUUCGGGUCUGGUCAUCGAAAAUUUAUCCCAGGCAGGCUAGCCCGGCCCUUCCAUCCGCAACUACGUAUAGUUCGGAAAAAAGGAAUAACUGUCGGUGCGGGAUUGGUCCGAGACGGUGGACGAAUAUCUUAGCCAAAGACCCUCGGGGACCAGAUAUGGUUACUAACCGGUGGCCCGCCGGUUCGGCCAUCGACCUCCUUUCGCUUAGACCAUUUCUGACUGUCUCGCCUCUCUUAAUUGUCGACAGACGAGUGAAAGGGGCCGAGGAACGGCCGCACCGGCUUCUCGGCCCUCUUCCCAUUUCCCACGGUCGUCCACUAACGCUUCUCCAGAUGGAGAUCUGUCGUCCGACUCAUCCGUCUCGGGUGAUGACGGAAGCCGCCUCCGCUCGGGUGUUCCCUUUACCGGUGGUGUGUGGUGGCCAGACUAGACCGGCUGGAGGCCGUACGUCUGGGAGUGUCCGAGCUGUUUUUAGCGUCGGUCGGUUGAUUUCGAUUAAUCGGCCUUCACUUUUCCAGCCAGCGGGCCAGCCGGUAAAGAAAAUGACGGCUGUUAGUGAGUCGAGCGUGGAUGAGUUUUCUUUUCUCCUGUUCUGUAGUAAAAAGGCAAAUUGUCCGGUUACCGGACGACCAGGAUAGCUAUUAGUGGCCGUAUGUCCAUCCAACAACUUACCUAUUUAUUUAAUAUUGAAAAACUGCCAUGGAGAAGUUGGCCUUACCAUGUUAACAGAAAACUGAGUUCGAUUUUAAAAGAAGGAAUCAAAAAAUUGUGCAAAAAAUAUCUUCUGGCGCCAACGGGAAAAAGUUUGAAUGACAGAUGGUGGGACUAAAAAGGCGGCCAAACCGUCGACGUUCGGAUGGUGGCUAAAGGUCUAUUUUUCACCCUGGACUUUCUUUUCGCUCCAACUCGAGAUUAAGGUGAUAAAAUUCUCGAACGGCGGGCGUUUCUUCCGCAAAUUUUCGGCGGAUGAAGUGGGACCAGGCUAAUUUCCCAGUCGACCGGCGGAGGGAAGAGUAGACCGAGAAGCCAUUAUCCGGCAGUGGUCGGUUGUGAAAAAAUUCAGGUGAGAUGGAACCGACACAAACUGAACGGAUGGUCGACGGCUGUGGUAGCGGAGAAUUAUCCCGAAGUCGGGAGACACGUUCUCUGUUAGCCAUAGCAGCCGCAUCGAUCAGACAACGGUCCAGGUUCCGACCGGGUAUCUCUGAUCGAUAUCGAAUUGUCUGUUGUUAGCGGGAAGAGUCGAGUGGCUGGCGGGCUGUCCGUCCCCAGUCGACCCCCUGUAUCUAUCCGCGCGCUAGUUAUCCCAGUCAGUACUAUCGAAUAGUUGACUGACCGUUACCACUAAUAGUCGGUGAUAAAAGUGUGGAUGGGACCAAUUCGCCUCUCCAAAUUAUCGGUUUUGGGUCAGAGACCGGACGAAACCAUUCCGUCGGUCCGUCUUCUUCCUAUUCACUAGGCCGCUAUCCGUCCUAGUCCUAGGCUAGGCAGUAUUGGGUGUGGGUGAGAUUUCUGGCUACAAUUUUUGUCGGGCCCGGAGGACGAAUUUAAAAAAUGGGAGGGGUAGGAUGGGAACCGGGAGCCAGCCCAGCCGCUGGUUGGUAGUCGUCCGCUAACUUAACGAGGACACUAUGGUCAUUCGAUCUCCGACGCGCUUGAUUUUUCCAGUCGCUAAAAGAAUGUAUUUUUCUUUGGACAGGUUUUCGGGCUGAUAGAAUCGGAGCGCCCACCCGGUAAGUACUCGUUUUUGAUUUA